rnacentral:rRNA from 1 species
UGUAUAAUGGGUCAGCGACUUAUAUUCUGUAGCAAGGUUAACCGAAUAGGGGAGCCGAAGGGAAACCGAGUCUUAACUGGGCGUUAAGUUGCAGGGUAUAGACCCGAAACCCGGUGAUCUAGCCAUGGGCAGGUUGAAGGUUGGGUAACACUAACUGGAGGACCGAACCGACUAAUGUUGAAAAAUUAGCGGAUGACUUGUGGCUGGGGGUGAAAGGCCAAUCAAACCGGGAGAUAGCUGGUUCUCCCCGAAAGCUAUUUAGGUAGCGCCUCGUGAAUUCAUCUCCGGGGGUAGAGCACUGUUUCGGCAAGGGGGUCAUCCCGACUUACCAACCCGAUGCAAACUGCGAAUACCGGAGAAUGUUAUCACGGGAGACACACGGCGGGUGCUAACGUCCGUCGUGAAGAGGGAAACAACCCAGACCGCCAGCUAAGGUCCCAAAGUCAUGGUUAAGUGGGAAACGAUGUGGGAAGGCCCAGACAGCCAGGAUGUUGGCUUAGAAGCAGCCAUCAUUUAAAGAAAGCGUAAUAGCUCACUGGUCGAGUCGGCCUGCGCGGAAGAUGUAACGGGGCUAAACCAUGCACCGAAGCUGCGGCAGCGACACUAUGUGUUGUUGGGUAGGGGAGCGUUCUGUAAGCCUGCGAAGGUGUACUGUGAGGUAUGCUGGAGGUAUCAGAAGUGCGAAUGCUGACAUAAGUAACG